GGCAAACAGCACAGACACGUCUGCACACAGCCCCAGCCCAUGGGUGUCCCCUUGCAGAGCACAGCUGUGCUCUGUGUCCUGCACUGAGCUGCUCCGGCAGCCUCAGGUGAAGAAGCGGUGCUGCAGAGGUGAGAGGCAGUGGGUUAACUCAGUGCUGUUCCUUCCUGCUGCUCCCGGGCUGACUCAGCUCACGCCGGCUGCGCGGUCACGGCAGCACCAGCAGCGGGGAUGCAGCGUUGCUGCAAUGCAUGCAGCUGCACACCAUGUAAGCCAGUCGUGUCCAUUCCACAAAGGAAACUGCCCUGCACACGCACGAUGCUCGCUGUGUUUACCUGCGUUUCCUUCACCAUGGCAGAGAUUUUGACGGUGCAGUUUCGCUCUGACUCACCACUGCUGACUGCUGUGGAAACGCAUUGACUCUGCAGUACUACGAAGCAGUUGCAUGAAUG
rnacentral:lncRNA from 1 species